rnacentral:rRNA from 1 species
GCGUUGGCCCAAUUGAUUGAUGGUGCUUGCACCUGAUUGAUUUUGGUCGCCAACGAGUGGCGGACGGGUGAGUAACACGUAGGUAACCUGCCCAGAAGCGGGGGACAACAUUUGGAAACAGAUGCUAAUACCGCAUAACAACGUUGUUCGCAUGAACAACGCUUAAAAGAUGGCUUCUCGCUAUCACUUCUGGAUGGACCUGCGGUGCAUUAGCUUGUUGGUGGGGUAAUGGCCUACCAAGGCGAUGAUGCAUAGCCGAGUUGAGAGACUGAUCGGCCACAAUGGGACUGAGACACGGCCCAUACUCCUACGGGAGGCAGCAGUAGGGAAUCUUCCACAAUGGGCGCAAGCCUGAUGGAGCAACACCGCGUGAGUGAAGAAGGGUUUCGGCUCGUAAAGCUCUGUUGUUAAAGAAGAACACGUAUGAGAGUAACUGUUCAUACGUUGACGGUAUUUAACCAGAAAGUCACGGCUAACUACGUGCCAGCAGCCGCGGUAAUACGUAGGUGGCAAGCGUUAUCCGGAUUUAUUGGGCGUAAAGAGAGUGCAGGCGGUUUUCUAAGUCUGAUGUGAAAGCCUUCGGCUUAACCGGAGAAGUGCAUCGGAAACUGGAUAACUUGAGUGCAGAAGAGGGUAGUGGAACUCCAUGUGUAGCGGUGGAAUGCGUAGAUAUAUGGAAGAACACCAGUGGCGAA